UACGUAGGUGGCAAGCGUUGUCCGGAUUUACUGGGCGUAAAGAGCGCGCAGGUGGUCGAUUUAGUCGCGUGUGAAAGCCCCCGGCUCAACUGGGGAGGGUCACGCGAUACUGAUCGACUCGAAGGCAGGAGAGGGUAGUGGAAUUCCCGGUGUAGUGGUGAAAUGCGUAGAUAUCGGGAGGAACACCAGUGGCGAAGGCGACUACCUGGCCUGUUCUUGACGCUGAGGCGCGAAAGCUAGGGGAGCAAACGGG
rnacentral:rRNA from 1 species